rnacentral:rRNA from 1 species
UGGCGAACGGGUGAGUAACACGUGGGCAACCUGCCCAAANAGGGGGAUAACACUUGGAACAGGUGCUAAUACCGCAUAACCAUAGUUACCGCAUGGUAACUAUGUAAAAGGUGGCUAUGCUACCGCUUUUGGAUGGGCCCGCGGCGCAUUAGCUAGUUGGUGGGGUAAAGGCUUACCAAGGCAAUGAUGCGUAGCCGAACUGAGAGGUUGAUCGGCCACAUUGGGACUGAGACACGGCCCAAACUCCUACGGGAGGCAGCAG